GGUUAUCAGCAUCAGCCGUGAGAAGUGGGUAAUUAUCAGCAGUUGGCUGAAAAAAAUCCAUAUCAUGCAUCCCUAGUUCUUAUGUGUUUAUCUUUAUGUUUUCUCUUUUUGAAGAAUGAGGAAGAGUUGUAAACUGAAGGCUUGGAUAGUCACUGACGGGUUGUGGCAAUCACAUGCUGCCUGUUUGCACAAUGGUGUCGACCUGCAUGGACGUAACUGACAAUCCUGAAACAGAAGCUUAAUUGAAUUAGUGCCUUUUUUAUAAUAAUUUUUAAAAAAAGCCAAUUCAACGUAACUGUGUACUGUGUACAGAUGUAGUUUUGUAACAUUGCUACUGAGACGGUGUCUUAGUCUGUGGCUGGAAAUGAAAGCUUUGUCUACUGUAUGCAAGUAACUCUUACACACCGCUUCCUGGUAAAGUAAGCAUUUGGAUGCCAGCAUGUGGUGGCACAAUGUCGUAUAAGUGUGGCUUCUAAAUGAGCUGAAACAACCCACAGUGGGUUCAGUCUGUCUGUGUGAACAGUGGUGGUGGUGGCAGGGGGGGGUCAACUCGCACUCCCCCAAGUUUCCGUCAGCUGCUGCUGCUGAGUCUCCUGACUGUCAUUAUAAUACAUCCCGUCUCCCCUUACAGUGAUUUUAACUGUGCUGCCAACCACCGUCUUUAACAUACCGCGGCAAAUUCCAAACUAAACUAUGCAGACGGUUUUUUGUUGUUGUUGUUGUGGUUUCUGCUGUUAAACUGAUAAACCAGCGAGCACACAGGGCCUUUUGCCAGCGCUUGACUGAAGUAGAAUGAACCGUGUGAGUAAUGCAGGUGCAAACAGUCGUCCACAGAGGGCAGUGUACAACAAGAAUAUGGAGGCCUGUCAAAGCGCGGAAGGUUCAGGACACAGACACUCAACAUGUGUUUAUACCGACAACUAAGGUACACCGUAUGUAGGCAAAAACUGCUCAUAGUACUUAAAUUGUCUUCACCUGUCAGGUGGUUUGCGUGUGCGGUUGGUUUAAAGUAGGUAAACAUGAAACACAAGCUCAAAUACAACCUCAGAUGGAAAAAAACUGAAGUAACACAACUUCCUAAUGCCAACUUCCUUUUGUUAACAGGGGCUGAAUGUCACACAUGCUGCAAAAAAGGGUAACACUUAAGAAUAAAACCCUCAAAUGAAUGUAUUAAUAUGUUCUUAAUAUGGGGCAAUACAUUCUGUAGAUUACAGUGUAUUUACUGUGUUUAAGGGGUUCACGACAGACUGCUUAUAAGAAGUACGUAGAAGUACAUCCCUCUUCCCAUGGAUUUCAUCAUCACUUUUAAAAACACGCACGUAUUUUAUAGCUAUAGCAACAGAUAUAGUCGCCCUUCUUCCAAAGUUUAGCAAAUGUUCUGUUUCUUAGCAGCCAUUAGAAAGUGCUCUAUGUUAAUAAUAGAAUGUUGUUGUAGGUGUGUCCAGGUUUUAAAAUAAAUGAUACCACAACAAAUUGAACUCGAACAUCAACCCCACUACCCCGUUUGCUUUUCAUCAAGCUACCAUACACUCGACAUGGGUACUCACAGGUGGACUUAGUAAAAAGAAUUAUUCUCUUAAACUCAACGCCGUUACCCCCUUUAAAGGUGAAAUAUUCACAGAUUAUAUUCUAAUUAACUUAAAUUAACUAAAAGUAUUGAAAGAAUGUGGAGAAUUAACAGCUCUGACAGUAUGUCACAGACAUCUUUGCACAGUGUUGAGGAAAUAUCUACCGAAGUUAGCAUGCUAACAACUAGCUAGGCCCAAGCCACUUUGUAAUCAGAUAGUAAACCCAACAAACUCUCCACUGGUCCACCAGUCCAGGCUUUCAGCACUGCUAGCUGUGCUAACUAGCAGUUACUGCAGUUAGCAGCGGGUAGCAGUGAUAUGCUGCAUCCUAUUUGUUUGAAAUGCACCUUUAAGCCCUAAUCUCUUCUCCUCCCAACUCACAUAAAGGUAGGCUUUGCAGUUGUGUAAGUGUUUCAGUGAUGCCCCAUACAACAUUAAAACCUUAAUUUGCGGCUUCAAAGUGUUAUGAAAACUUUGCCCCAACAGCUUGGUCUCUAGCUAGCAUUCAACAAGGCCACCGAUAAUAUUAAGUUCAGGGGCAAACUUAACGCAGACUUUACCUUAACAUCAACGCAACCAAAAAACACUUGACACAACAGUCCAUUAGUGCUUAUGCAUACAUACAUACAGUAGGUGGCGUCACUCUGAAGAGGUCCUGUCACAAUGUCCAACUGCUACGCGAGAGAGAGGAUUUCUCCCGCCACACUUUGUUGCUGACCUUCCGGAGCCAAGAUGGAGGAGCACGUGUUUUUGACGCUGGGGCCAGUGAAUGAAUCUGAAUAUGAAGCUACUGUCUUGAUUGUGACCCUUAGGAUUCGUCUUGGGACCCCCCUGGACUGGGAACCACUGUCAUAAACAGAGCACAAUGGAUACGUAAGCUACACUAGUGUGCAUGAAUUGUUAAGAGAAAUAAGAGAGAGAGAGCGUUUCAGCUGUGAGAUAAUAGGAAUGAUCAGCAGAAAUAUCAGAUGGAGGACAGAUCGGAAAAAUAGCCGACAUCGUAGUUAUUUUGGCAGUUGCUUAAAAAAAAAA